rnacentral:rRNA from 1 species
GACGAACGCUGGCGGCGUGCUUAACACAUGCAAGUCGAACGGAAAGGCCCUGCUUUUGUGGGGUGCUCGAGUGGCGAACGGGUGAGUAACACGUGAGUAACCUGCCCUUGACUUUGGGAUAACUUCAGGAAAAUGGGGCUAAUACCGGAUAGGAUCUCCUGCUGCAUGGUGGGGGUUGGAAAGUUUCGGCGGUUGGGGAUGGACUAGCGGCUUAUCAGCUUGUUGGUGGGGUAGUGGAUUACCAAGGGUUUGACGGGUAGCCGGCCUGAGAGGUUGACCGGCCACAUUGGGACUGAGAUACGGCCCAGACUGCUACGGGAGGCAGCAGUCGGGAAUAUUGCACAAUGGGCGGAAGUCUGAUGCAGAAACGCCGCGUGCGGGAUGACGGCCUUCGGGUUGUAAACCGCUUUCGACUGUGACGAAGCGUGAGUGACGGUAAUGGGUAAAGAAGCACCGGCUAACUACGUG